rnacentral:rRNA from 1 species
UACGUAGGGUGCAAGCGUUAAUCGGAAUUACUGGGCGUAGAGCGUGCGCAGGCGGCUUUGCAAGACAGGUGUGAAAUCCCCGGGCUUAACCUGGGAACUGCAUUUGUGACUGCAUGGCUAGAGUGCGGCAGAGGGGGAUGGAAUUCCGCGUGUAGCAGUGAAAUGCGUAGAUAUGCGGAGGAACACCGAUGGCGAAGGCAAUCCCCUGGGCCUGCACUGACGCUCAUGCACGAAAGCGUGGGGAGCAAACAGG